GCCCCAGUGGCCUAAUGGAUAAGGCAUCGGUCUCCUAAACCGGGGAUUGUGGGUUCAAGUCCCACCUGGGGUA
rnacentral:tRNA from 1 species